rnacentral:lncRNA from 1 species
UCAUAAAUCGGGUCAUGAAAAAUACACCCGCAAUUUACAAUAUAUUUAUUUAUUAAUUUAUUUGAAGUGAAGUGUCAAGGUGCGCGAAUGCACACUUGAAUUUUGGGAUUAAGUGCACAAUUAUGCCACGGGAGUAGGCACCCAAAACUGUGACGAUGUAUCAAUUAAUCGAACCUAAGAGCUACUACAAUGUUAAUAAGUAGUUUUCCUAAACUAUUUCAAGAUUAUUUUAGGGCAUAAACAUUAUGGAAGUGUGAAUUGUGGGAGCAAAGAGAUUUAUCUUCUACGGAUACAAUUGUAAUGCAAAAUUGUUCAUUUGGCUCACAUUCUUGCAACUAGCCCAUCGAUCAAAUACCUCAUAGACCAACAUAAUUUGACAAAACCAAAUUUCACUUUCCUAAAUGGCUUAACUACUUAAACUAGGGAUAGCAAGCGGAUAGGGUCAGAUAUGGGAAGGGUAAAAAAUGGGUAAUGAAAAAUAGAUAAAUUAUCCGACCUGAUCCAGAUUUAACAUGGAUAAAAAAUGAGUUAACCUGCGGAUAAUAUAAGUAAGCACAUUAUCCAUGGGUUCAUGAAUGUAUUCACUUUUAGGAAAAUUACUAGUCUUCCAAAUUUAAGGAACCCCCACUUUGAAAUCUUACAAAUAAAAAAGUUACGUCCAUUAGUUAUUCAUUGGUUAUUCAUUUUCUAAAUGGAUAAUAUGAUUCUUAUCCAUAUUUGACCCGUUCUUAAAAAGUUCAUUAUCCAACCCAAUUUUAGUGGAUAAUAUGGGUGGUUAAUUAUAUUCUUUUACUCAUUUUGUGAACCCUAACUGAAACUAUUAACGUAAAGUAAAAGAACUAUAAUCAUAUUAAUUUUCAUUUCUAAUCAUAUUGAAUUGCUCAAGCAUUUAAGAACAUGUAAUGGACCCAAAUUUCUAGCAUAAACUUCAAAACAUGAUCGCUCUAUCUAAACUGGAACGGAUCGAACCUAUCCAAACAAAUAUAUUCACAUUAAAAAAUAUAUACUCCAUUUGAACACAAUUAUAUAUUCAGUAUCAAUACCAGUUCUCGUUAUUCCAUGAACGGUCUUAAUAAUCAAAGAAUCAGCAGGCAUCAAAAGCAUGAGAGUGAUUCUAGGGAGAUUAAGCGUAAUAAUUUUGGAUCACAGAUUUACAACUUGGAUGAACUAAACUAAGACCUACCGGAUAAUUUUCGUGAUAAUAGUGACCUAAAACAAAAGGUAAACACAACUUUAACUCAUCAAAAAUUGAGUCAUCUUAUCAAAACAGAGUAAUCACAAGGCCAAACAAGCAAACAAAUCGAAAUUCAAAAACUAACAAAUGCAACUACGAUUUCAUUACACAAAAGCAAAUUCGAACGUAUAUGUUUGAUUGAAUACCUGACUGUGCAGGAAUUAACUUGGAAAACCAAAUAAAGGCUGGAAAAAGUAAUUAGAGCUCAAAAGCAGAAUCAACAGAGAAUAGCAGUACUCGGUAAAAAUUUAAUCCUCAGCGGCUUUGUAACCCAGGGAAGAAGAUCGGAAUUUUGAAACUCUAACUUGUUGAACCUUUUGUGUUUCCCAGAACUCCCAACGCUCUCAGAUCUUAGUUUUAAAUUCUCCAAAAUUGAAUUCUUUCUUUUUUGUGUGUGUGUGAGGGAGUAUAGGUGGGUGAGAAUGAAUACUUUGUGUGAGUGGAAAUUCUCUGUGAAUUCAGAUGAGAGUGAGGGUCUCAGUCCUGAUCGUAUGAGUGAGGGGUGGGUUUUUUUUUUUUUUUUUCAACAACUGAGGGAGAAGGGGUCGUUUUAGUUAAUUGAAAUGCGGGAUGAUGCCG